CAGCCGCCGCGGUAAUACGGAGGGUGCAAGCGUUGUCCGGAUUUAUUGGGUUUAAAGGGUGCGCAGGCGGCUAUUUAAGUCAGCGGUGAAAGACUCCGGCUCAACCGGAGCAGUGCCAUUGAUACUGGAUAGCUUGAGUGUUGGAGGGGUACAUGGAAUUGAUGGUGUAGCGGUGAAAUGCAUAGAUACCAUCAGGAACACCGAUAGCGAAGGCAUUGUACUGGCCAACAACUGACGCUGAGGCACGAAAGCAUGGGGAGCGAACAGGAUUAGAUACCCCGGUAGUCCCUGUCUCUUAUAC
rnacentral:rRNA from 1 species